GAUGAACGCUGGCGGCGUGCCUAAUACAUGCAAGUCGAGCGAACGGACGAGAAGCUUGCUUCUCUGAUGUUAGCGGCGGACGGGUGAGUAACACGUGGAUAACCUACCUAUAAGACUGGGAUAACUUCGGGAAACCGGAACUAAUACCGGAUGAUAUUUUGAACCGCAUGGUUCAAAAGUGAAAGACGGUCUUGCUGUCACUUAUAGAUGGAUCCGCGCUGCAUUAGCUAGUUGGUAAGGUAACGGCUUACCGAGGCAACGAUGCAUAGCCGACCUGAGAGGGUGAUCGGCCACACUGGAACUGAGACACGGUCCAGACUCCUACGGGAGGCAGCAGUAGGGAAUCUUCCGCAAUGGGCGAAAGCCUGACGGAGCAACGCCGCGUGAGUGAUGAAGGUCUUCGGAUCGUAAAACUCUGUUAUUAGGGAAGAACAUAUGUGUAAGUAACUGUGCACAUCUUGACGGUACCUAAUCAGAAAGCCACGGCUAACUACGUG
rnacentral:rRNA from 1 species